CAGAAUAUAGCUAAAUAUAUAGCACUUCCCUUACACUGAAAAGUUGCCCGCGCAAACCGGGUUAUUCUGA
rnacentral:tRNA from 1 species